UAAUACGUAGGGUGCAAGCGUUAAUCGGAAUUACUGGGCGUAAAGCGUACGCAGGCGGCUUUGCAAGACAGGUGUGAAAUCCCCGGGCCUAACCUGGGAACUGCAUUUGUGACUGCAUAGCUAGAGUCUGUCAGAGGGGGGUGGAAUUCCACGUGUAGCAGUGAAAUGCGUAGAGAUGUGGAAGAACACCGAUGGCGAAGGCAGCCCCCUGGGAUAAGACUGACGCUCAUGUACGAAAGCGUGGGGAGCAAACAGGA
rnacentral:rRNA from 1 species